GAUGAACGCGGCGGCGUGCUUAACACAUGCAAGUCGAACGAAGCUGCUUAAAGGAAGUUUUCGGAUGGAAUUUAGGUAGACUUAGUGGCGGACGGGUGAGUAACGCGUGGAUAACCUGCCUUAUACAGGGGGAUAACGGAGAGAAAUUUCCGCUAACACCGCAUAAGACCACAGCACCGCAUGGUGCAGGGGUAAAAUAUUUAUAGGUAUAAGAUGGAUCCGCGUCCGAUUAGCUAGUUGGUGAGGUAGAGGCUCACCAAGGCGACGAUCGGUAGCCGGCCUGAGAGGGUGAACGGCCACAUUGGGACUGAGACACGGCCCAAACUCCUACGGGAGGCAGCAGUGGGGAAUAUUGGACAAUGGGGGAAACCCUGAUCCAGCGACGCCGCGUGAGUGAAGAAGUAUUUCGGUAUGUAAAAGCUCUAUUCAGCCAGGGAAAGAAAAAUGGACCGGUACCCUGGCUAAGAAG
rnacentral:rRNA from 1 species